rfam:Triticum urartu cultivar G1812 contig1019701, whole genome shotgun sequence.
UAUAUACUCCCUCCAUCCGGAAACAUUUAUCAUCAAAAUGGAUGAAAAUUAAUGUAUCUAGAACUAAAAUACAUCUAGAUACAUCCAGAUACAUCCAUUUUAAUGACAAGUAUUUUCGGACGGAGGGAGUACAUA